rnacentral:rRNA from 1 species
UUCCUACGGGGGGCUGCAGUGGGGAAUAUUGCACAAUGGGCGCAAGCCUGAUGCAGCAACGCCGCGUGAGUGAAGAAGGCCUUCGGGUCGUAAAACUCUGUCCUAAGGGAAGAAGCAGUGACGGUACCUUAGGAGGAAGCCCCGGCUAACUACGUGCCAGCAGCCGCGGUAAUACGUAGGGGGCAAGCGUUAUCCGGAAUCACUGGGCGUAAAGGGUGCGUAGGCGGCUGAUCAAGCCAGGGGUGAAAGGCUGUGGCUUAACCAUGGUAAGCCUUUGGAACUGGUCAGCUUGAGUGCAGGAGAGGAAAGCGGAAUUCCUAGUGUAGCGGUGAAAUGCGUAGAUAUUAGGAGGAACACCCGUGGCGAAGGCGGCUUUCUGGACUGUAACUGACGCUGAUGCACGAAAGCGUGGGGAGCAAACAGGAUUAGAUACCCCUGUAGUCC